rnacentral:rRNA from 1 species
UACGUAGGGUGCAAGCGUUAAUCGGAAUUACUGGGCGUAAAGCGUGCGCAGGCGGCUUUGCAAGACAGAUGUGAAAUCCCCGGGCUCAACCUGGGAACUGCAUUUGUGACUGCAAGGCUGGAGUACGGUAGAGGGGGAUGGAAUUCCGCGUGUAGCAGUGAAAUGCGUAGAUAUGCGGAGGAACACCGAUGGCGAAGGCAGCCCCCUGGGUCAAGAUUGACGCUCAUGCACGAAAGCGUGGGGAGCAAACAGG